rnacentral:lncRNA from 1 species
CUAGGGUAUACUAGGGUUCUAAAGCUCUGUGACAUCAUCAUGAGUCUCAGAAAUGGCCAGAAUGUUCCUUGCUGCAGAUGCAUUGGCCCCAUCUGCAGGUCCUCUUUGACACCUACCUUACUCUCUCCCUCCACUCACACUCUGAGAACUGUGCUCAGGGGCAGCGCUACAACUUCCACAUUGGUCUUUACAGGGCUUGAGUGAUUAUUUCAAGAACAGAACGCUGUGUGGAAACCUUUACCAUAUUUCGUUGUAUCUAAGACACAUUUUUUUUUUUUGAAAUUUAACAUCUCUAAGGUUGGGUUAUGUUUCUUCAUCAUUGUCAGGUUGGAGCUUAAUCAGCAGCACUUUUUUUUAAUGUCACACACAGUAAUGGUGAUGCAUCUCACAAUUGAGAUCAUCUUAGACAUGAUGGAAUAUGGAAUCGUGUGCCUGUUACAAGCCAGGCUCUUGUCUGGGUUCUAGAGACGGUGGAAACCAAGACAGCACCAUCCUCUAGUGGUGUUCACAUCCCACCACAGUGGAGUCAGGACUUUGAAGUCCUCCAUUGGAUCUUCUCGGAAGAUGAGGGAAAUGAGAGAGUGUGGAGAGAGAUUUUGUAAGUCCGGUCUGGAAGUGGUCAUUGUUCAGAAUCCAGCCACGUGGGUACAUGGAACUGUAAGAAUAUGUUCUGUGGACACUACAGAUGCAGAUUAAAUCACCUGCAAAGUGAAUCUGUCAGCCCUAACAAUAAGAAUAGCUCUUUUAUGAUGAGCAGGUGAGACCAGGUAAUUACCGAAGAAAGAGAGUGAUGUGUUCAUUGAAGUCUACUCAUGGAGGAAAGAAGGCUAUUUCAACAUGGGAAACUGAAAUCGGGCAUAUCCCUGCGGAAGAAGGGCUCUGAAUUCUAAUUUUUCCCUUCAGUAUGAUAAGACUACCAGAAGCUUAGCUCAGCUUCUCUGCUCUCAGCCACUACUUGUGAAUCAGCUAAAGACCUUGAGAAGAAAGCAGACUGAAUGUCGAGCACACUCCUUGUACUUCCCUUUUCUCAAAAAUCUUAGCCCCUCAAGUCCUUGCAGACAUGGUAGCUCUCUCACGCCUUCAAACCAAAUCAAUCGAAUAUUUUGUCUGGCUUUUCUAGUUGCCCUUGGCUAAUGGAUUGUUCUGCAAAAAACAAGUCUAUCAUUACAGCCUGCAGGCCAUAUUAUUACAUGGGAAAAGCAAAUUACAAAAGAAUAAGUAGGGUGUGAUUCUAUAUUCAUUAAAAUAAAAAUAUUGAUAAUUUGUUAGAAAAUGCUCAGGAAUGUAAUCUGAAAGAGGAGUCACCUAAUCAUUUACAUUGGUUAUGCAGUAUUUCAUUUCACUUCCUAUGCUAUGUAUUUUUUGUAAUGUUUGGACUCCAGUUUUCAAUAAAGAUAUAUUUCAUAAUAAGAGGAAAUUCAUAAGGUCAUUUCCAAAAGUUGAAAGAAAUAAAAAAGGCAUAACGAAAUAGCUGGAAAGUGAGUUUAUCCUUAUCUCUGUGUCCUAAUUUGGGAAAGCCAAACUUACAGAAUAUCCAGC